UUAAGCGACUAAGCGUACACGGUGGAUGCCCUGGCAGUCAGAGGCGAUGAAGGACGUGCUAAUCUGCGAUAAGCGUCGGUAAGGUGAUAUGAACCGUUAUAACCGGCGAUUUCCGAAUGGGGAAACCCAGUGUGUUUCGACACACUAUCAUUAACUGAAUCCAUAGGUUGAUGAGGCGAACCGGGGGAACUGAAACAUCUAAGUACCCCGAGGAAAAGAAAUCAACCGAGAUUCCCCCAGUAGCGGCGAGCGAACGGGGAGCAGCCCAGAGCCUGAAUCAGUGUGUGUGUUAGUGGAAGCGUCUGGAAAGGCGCGCGAUACAGGGUGACAGCCCCGUACACAAAAAUGCACAUGCUGUGAGCUCGAUGAGUAGGGCGGGACACGUGGUAUCCUGUCUGAAUAUGGGGGGACCAUCCUCCAAGGCUAAAUACUCCUGACUGACCGAUAGUGAACCAGUACCGUGAGGGAAAGGCGAAAAGAACCCCGGCGAGGGGAGUGAAAAAGAACCUGAAACCGUGUACGUACAAGCAGUGGGAGCCUCUUUAUGGGGUGACUGCGUACCUUUUGUAUAAUGGGUCAGCGACUUAUAUUCUGUAGCAAGGUUAACCGAAUAGGGGAGCCGAAGGGAAACCGAGUCUUAACUGGGCGUUAAGUUGCAGGGUAUAGACCCGAAACCCGGUGAUCUAGCCAUGGGCAGGUUGAAGGUUGGGUAACACUAACUGGAGGACCGAACCGACUAAUGUUGGAAAAUUAGCGGAUGACUUGUGGCUGGGGGUGAAAGGCCAAUCAAACCGGGAGAUAGCUGGUUCUCCCCGAAAGCUAUUUAGGUAGCGCCUCGUGAAUUCAUCUCCGGGGGUAGAGCACUGUUUCGGCAAGGGGGUCAUCCCGACUUACCAACCCGAUGCAAACUGCGAAUACCGGAGAAUGUUAUCACGGGAGACACACGGCGGGUGCUAACGUCCGUCGUGAAGAGGGAAACAACCCAGACCGCCAGCUAAGGUCCCAAAGUCAUGGUUAAGUGGGAAACGAUGUGGGAAGGCCCAGACAGCCAGGAUGUUGGCUUAGAAGCAGCCAUCAUUUAAAGAAAGCGUAAUAGCUCACUGGUCGAGUCGGCCUGCGCGGAAGAUGUAACGGGGCUAAACCAUGCACCGAAGCUGCGGCAGCGACGCUUAUGCGUUGUUGGGUAGGGAGCGUUCUGUAAGCCUGUGAAGGUGUGCUGUGAGGCAUGCUGGAGGUAUCAGAAGUGCGAAUGCUGACAUAAGUAACGAUAAAGCGGGUGAAAAGCCCGCUCGCCGGAAGACCAAGGGUUCCUGUCCAACGUUAAUCGGGGCAGGGUGAGUCGACCCCUAAGGCGAGGCCGAAAGGCGUAGUCGAUGGGAAACAGGUUAAUAUUCCUGUACUUGGUGUUACUGCGAAGGGGGGACGGAGAAGGCUAUGUUGGCCGGGCGACGGUUGUCCCGGUUUAAGCGUGUAGGCUGAUUUUCCAGGCAAAUCCGGAAAAUCAAGGCUGAGGCGUGAUGACGAGGCACUACGGUGCUGAAGCAACAAAUGCCCUGCUUCCAGGAAAAGCCUCUAAGCAUCAGGUAACAUCAAAUCGUACCCCAAACCGACACAGGUGGUCAGGUAGAGAAUACCAAGGCGCUUGAGAGAACUCGGGUGAAGGAACUAGGCAAAAUGGUGCCGUAACUUCGGGAGAAGGCACGCUGAUAUGUAGGUGAAGUCCCUCGCGGAUGGAGCUGAAAUCAGUCGAAGAUACCAGCUGGCUGCAACUGUUAUUAAAAACACAGCACUGUGACAAACACGAAAGUGGACGUAUACGGUGUGACGCCUGCCCGGUGCCGGAAGGUUAAUUGAUGGGGUCAGCGCAAGCGAAGCUCUUGAUCGAAGCCCCGGUAAACGGCGGCCGUAACUAUAACGGUCCUAAGGUAGCGAAAUUCCUUGUCGGGUAAGUUCCGACCUGCACGAAUGGCGUAAUGAUGGCCAGGCUGUCUCCACCCGAGACUCAGUGAAAUUGAACUCGCUGUGAAGAUGCAGUGUACCCGCGGCAAGACGGAAAGACCCCGUGAACCUUUACUAUAGCUUGACACUGAACAUUGAGCCUUGAUGUGUAGGAUAGGUGGGAGGCUUAGAAGUGUGGACGCCAGUCUGCAUGGAGCCGGCCUUGAAAUACCACCCUUUAAUGUUUGAUGUUCUAACGUGGACCCGUAAUCCGGGUUGCGGACAGUGUCUGGUGGGUAGUUUGACUGGGGCGGUCUCCUCCUAAAGAGUAACGGAGGAGCACGAAGGUUGGCUAAUCCUGGUCGGACAUCAGGAGGUUAGUGCAAUGGCAUAAGCCAGCUUGACUGCGAGCGUGACGGCGCGAGCAGGUGCGAAAGCAGGUCAUAGUGAUCCGGUGGUUCUGAAUGGAAGGGCCAUCGCUCAACGGAUAAAAGGUACUCCGGGGAUAACAGGCUGAUACCGCCCAAGAGUUCAUAUCGACGGCGGUGUUUGGCACCUCGAUGUCGGCUCAUCACAUCCUGGGGCUGAAGUAGGUCCCAAGGGUAUGGCUGUUCGCCAUUUAAAGUGGUACGCGAGCUGGGUUUAGAACGUCGUGAGACAGUUCGGUCCCUAUCUGCCGUGGGCGCUGGAGAACUGAGGGGGGCUGCUCCUAGUACGAGAGGACCGGAGUGGACGCAUCACUGGUGUUCGGGUUGUCAUGCCAAUGGCACUGCCCGGUAGCUAAAUGCGGAAGAGAUAAGUGCUGAAAGCAUCUAAGCACGAAACUUGCCCCGAGAUGAGUUCUCCCUGACUCCUUGAGAGUCCUGAAGGAACGUUGAAGACGACGACGUUGAUAGGCCGGGUGUGUAAGCGCAGCGAUGCGUUGAGCUAACCGGUACUAAUGAACCGUGAGGCUUAACCUU
rnacentral:rRNA from 1 species